CAGCCAUUACCACCCAUGAGCCAAACAUUCCAUCUUGGCUUCAUGCUGAUGUGCAACAUCUUGUUGCAAAACUGCUGUGCAAGAAACCUAAGAAGCGUCUCGGUGUGCGUGGCAACAUACGGAUGCAUCCACUGUUUUCCACCAUCGGCUGGAAGGAACUGGAGGAGAGGAGGGCACAGCCGCCAUUUACACCAUUUCAGCGGGUUCUGGAGAAGCAACAUCUGUGUUGGCCGAAGGAUAAGAAAGCCCAUCACCCCGUGGCCGAAUUUAGCUACAUGUCACCUAGCUGGGCCCGGUGGAUGAGAAGAUCUGGGCUGUGAGGGAGUCCACGACCAUCUGGAUGAAAUCCUGCCAACUUCCCAGAACUUUGUGCCUCCUCCUGACCAAUGCCUCUAUGCUGUUCUGUCACCUCGGCUG